AGGUGCGCCAGAUGCUCUUCGACCUCGAGUCCGCCUACAACGCCUUCAACCGAUUCCUGCACUCCUGAGAGCGCCAAAAAACGGCAAAAAACAGCAAAAAACGGCAAAAACCAGUACAAACCAGUUCGGACCAGUCCAAACUGGAACCUCCAGAAGUUUGGAAUAAAUGGGAAAAGAAAAAAUCUCAAAAUUUGUGCAAAAUUCCUUUAUUUUCUCGGCGUUAUUGGAUCAAAUGGGGAGCCAGUCCCAGUUCAAACCAGUCCAAACCAGUCCAAACCAGUUCAAACCAGUUCAGACCAGUGCAGACCAGUCCAAACUGGAACCAGCAGAAAUUUGGAAUAAAUGGGAGGGAAAAAAAUCCCAAAAAUCUGUGAAAAAUUCCUUUAUUUUCUUAUAGAUAUUGGAUCAAACUGGGAGCCAUUUCCAAUUCAGACCAGUCCAAACCAGUUCAGACAAAUAAAACCAGUUCAAACCAGUUCAGACCAGUCCAGACCAGUUCAAAUUGGAGCCAGCAGAAGUUUGGAAUAAAUGGGAGGAGAAAAACCCCCAAAAUCUCCAAAAUCUGUUUAAAAUUCUGUUAUUUUCUUGUUGUUUCUUGGAGUCAUUCCCAUUUUAAACCAGUCCAAACCAGUAAAAACCAGUUCAGACCAGUCCAAACCAGUUCAGACCAGUCCAAACUGGAACUUCCAGAAAGUCGGAAUAAAUGGGACGAGAAAAAUCCCAAAAUUUGUGCAAAAUUCCUUUAUUUUCUUGUUGUUAUUGGAUCAAAUGGGGAGCCAGUCCCAGUUCAAACCAGUCCAAACCAGUUCAGACCAAUAAAACCAGUUCAAACCAGUUCAGACCAGUCCAGACCAGUUCAGACCAGUCCAAAUUGGAGCCAGCAAAAGUUUGGAAUGAAUGGGAGGAGAAAAACCCCAAAAAUCUCCAAAAUUUGUGAAAAAUUCCUUU
rnacentral:lncRNA from 1 species